rnacentral:rRNA from 1 species
UACGUAGGGUGCGAGCGUUGUCCGGAAUUACUGGGCGUAAAGCGCGUGUAGGCGGCCUAGUGUGUCGGGCGUGAAAUCCCACGGCUCAACCGUGGAAGUGCACUCGAAACUGCAAGGCUGGAGUACUGGAGAGGAUGGUAGAAUGCUCGGUGUAGAGGUGAAAUUCGUAGAUAUCGAGCGGAAUACCAGUGGCGAAGGCGGCCAUCUGGACAGUCACUGACGCUGAGACGCGAAAGCGUGGGGAGCAAACAGG